rnacentral:lncRNA from 1 species
UGUUAAUUGAUUUUUAGAAAUUCUUCCCAUUUGUUCAAAGCUGUUUGGUUUUCUAGCUUUUUCUGCCCUUCCAGGAUGAGGCUGAGAUUAGCUGCAGGAGGCACGAGUCAGUUGGGUCUGGGUUCUCUCUUCCACUUGUCGGGGGGUGGGGGCACCAAAGCCCCAGAGGAAGUGACAGGCCCUGUGUUCCCCUGCAGAUGCCGACUGAUCGCGCCCCCGCCCCUCCAGCAAACGCCCCAGCGCUGAGAGCCAAAUGCUCUGGGGAACUCCAUCUGCAACGGGCUGGAGCGUGGUGUUAGGGCUCAUAUUUUAUGCAUGGGGCUGACUAAAUGGGAACAUUUGGAGAUGAAAAUUGCUGUUAAUGCAUCUACACAUCUUUGGAAUAUAUUAAAUGUGUGUGUGAGGGGAAGAGUGACAUUAGCCUUAUUUAAUAGCUUCAAUAUAACCAUCCCCGCACACCACGGCGUUAACAGGCACGGCCCCCCCGCCGAGUCUCCCAGGCCACCACUCAGGAAGAGUGCUGGGUGCAUCACGCGCCACUUGAGAAUUAGGGGGUGAGUCCGGCGUCGGCCCGGCAUGCAGCAGCGUGCAUGUUCCCCGCCGAUUUCUAACCCAAACACAGUGACCCUGUGCCACUUGAUGCAGAAUUUCAUUAAAAGCAAAAAUGAUUGAUUUAUCUAUUGUUUGCGGAGAAGAAAAAAUAAACAAAGGGCCUUUCUCAUCAGAUAAGCCAAAUAAGAACGUGUGCCCCACAGGUGGCCAGGAUGAAAGUCUCCAUGGACCCUUCAACCAGAGGCUCUGUGACUUGUCCCGUCUUCAGUGCGGUGUGUAAACCCUGCCGCCGGUCCAAGUUCACGAGGUGUGCUCCCUUCUCCAGUGCAAGGGCCCGGUUUAUCCCCACUAUGUCUCCUGGACGUGGUUGGGAAAUUGAACAACCUGGACCUCCGUUCCCAUUUCCUUGUUGUUUCAGCGGGAGAUAAGAGGAGAAGUAAUAGCUGUCGUGUUGGGGCGCUUGCCUUGGUCCUGGGCCCCAUCAGCUGCUGUGAGGAGACAGUUUCUUUUCCAUAGUUGAGGAAAUGGAGCGCAGAGAGGUUGAGUGAGUCAACCAAGGUCACCCAGCUGGAGGUGGGGCAGGGUCUGGCUCCAGGCUGUGUGCUCUCACCCACCCUGCUUGCACGGGCUUUAGGAAUAGCCCCUGUGUCCUGGAAGACAGAUCGCUCACCGAAUGGGCCUCUUUUCUUGGUAUCAUAUGAUGAGGUAGGCUCACUUUCCCCCAGACUUAGCUUGCCAGAAUAUUCAUGGUUUUUUCUCUGUACUCACCUGUCAUCUCUCCAACUUGGUGCCAUCACCCAUGAAGUGGGAUGCUUUGGUGCGUGUCUGGCCUGGGGAGAGGGCUGCUUGCUUUGUCAGAAGACUCAAAGCAUGAUGGGCAUCCAAAUACCAAAGACCUAUGUUGACCUGUGUUUUUCACUCCGCUUGAUGGCAGUUGAGGGCUAUAUUCACUGCCUCAGUUGCAUGGAGUGAACAAGACCUAGUGAAGGUGGUGGGUGCGCUGAGACCAUCUGGUUGAUCUCUCCUGGGUGGGACCAGGUGCUCCCCUCACCACCCCCACCCUUGUCUGUGUACCACCACUCUGCACAGACACGUUGGCUGGUGCAGUCCUGGAGACCCACGGAGCUCACGGUCGUCAGGGGUCCUCAAGGAUUCAGAGAACCCCCAAAUGUCAGGGCUGCUCCCUUCUUGUCCUGCCUCUCUGCUCACACCCUUGGACAGGAGGAAGCACACGGGAGGCACUCAGAGAACGUUUGUGGAAUGAAUAAAUAAAAGCAUAUUUUGAGGGAAUAAAGAAGCAGAAAAACAAAGAAGAAUCUGGGGAAGAUGGGCAUAAAUCUCCACCAAGUGCUGCCAAGGCUUCCCAGGCGAGGCUGCUGAAAAGACCCUGUGGAGCGGCUGCUCUGCCUGGGAUAAACACAUUUCAAGAGUCUCAGUCCCCGCUUUGCCACCAUCUCCUCCUCUGAUCUCCUUUCCUGCUUCAAAAGACUCCAGAAUCUUCUCGGUUCUCAGAGAAGGCUGAAUCCACCUAUGACCUAGUGGGAGCACCCUGUGCCGAAACUGUUUACCUUCUGGUCCCCGGAGCCAUGGGUCACGACCUGGGCCUCAUGUAGGCCCGCUCCUCAGCAGACCCCAAUCUGCGGCUUCUCCCACCUCACUGGGGAAGAAGGAGAGCCCUGGGGAUGUGGAGAAGCCACCCCCCACCCCGCCACAUCCCCCACAUCUUACAGAAUCUCGAUUGAAUCCCCGGGGGCACAUCCCUCAGCAGGACAGCAACAGUCUUUGCCGCAGCCUGGGGAGGGCUGUGCUGGGGAUGAGCGCCGAGUGGCCGUGGACUAAGUGAAGGAAAUGACCAUGCUCUUCUCCCAGCUGGAUGGCGAGGCCGGGCAGGAACCGCGGAAUUCCUGCUCUUCGUUUUCAAACACUUUGCUGUCAAGCUAUUUGAAUAAUAAAUACACAUUAUAAAAA